UACGUAGGGUGCGAGCGUUAAUCGGAAUUACUGGGCGUAAAGUGUGCGCAGGCGGCCAUGCAAGUCGAGUGUGAAAGCCCCGGGCUUAACUUGGGAAUUGCGCUCGAAACUACGUGGCUGGAGUGUGGCUGAGGAAGGUGGAAUUCCACGUGUAGCGGUGAAAUGCGUAGAGAUGUGGAGGAACACCAAUGGCGAAGGCAGCCUUCUGGGCCAACACUGACGCUCAUGCACGAAAGCGUGGGGAGCGAACAGG
rnacentral:rRNA from 1 species